CCUACGGGUGGCAGCAGUGGGGAAUAUUGCACAAUGGGGGAAACCCUGAUGCAGCAACGCCGCGUGAGUGAAGAAGUAUUUCGGUAUGUAAAGCUCUAUCAGCAGGGAAGAAGAUGACGGUACCUGAGUAAGAAGCCCCGGCGAACUACGUGCCAGCAGCCGCGGGAAUACGUAGGGGGCAAGCGUUAUCCGGAUUUACUGGGUGGCACGGGAGCGUAGACGGUGAGACAAGUCUGAAGUGAAAGCCCGGGGCUCAACCCCGGGACUGCUUUGGAAAGUGCCUGACUGGAGUGCGGGAGAGGCCGGCGGACUUCCUAGUGUAGCGGUGAAAUGCGUAGAUAUUAGGCAG
rnacentral:rRNA from 1 species